rnacentral:rRNA from 1 species
UUCGGGGGGUACACGAGCGGCGAACGGGUGAGUAACACGUGGGUGACCUGCCCUCAGCUCUGGGAUAAGCCUGGGAAACUGGGUCUAAUACCGGAUAUGACCUCUUGCCGCAUGGUGGGUGGUGGAAAGUUUUUCGGCUGGGGAUGGGCCUGCGGCCUAUCAGCUUGUUGGUGGGGUGAUGGCUUACCAAGGCGACGACGGGUAGCCGGCCUGAGAGGGCGUCCGGCCACACUGGGACUGAGACACGGCCCAGACUCCUACGGGAGGCAGCAGUGGGGAAUAUUGCGCAAUGGGCGGAAGCCUGACGCAGCGACGCCGCGUGGGGGAUGACGGCCUUCGGGUUGUAAACCUCUUUCGCCAGGGACGAAGCGUGAGUGACGGUACCUGGAUAAGAAGCACCGGCCAACUACGUGCCAGCAGUCGCGGUAAUACGUAGGGUGCGAGCGUUGUCCGGAAUUAUUGGGCGUAAAGAGCUCGUAGGCGGUGUGUCGCGUCGGUCGUGAAAACCUGCAGCUUAACUGUGGGCUUGCGGUCGAUACGGGCAUCACUGGAGUUCGGCAGGGGAGACUGGAAUUCCUGGUGUAGCGGUGUAAUGCGCAGAUAUCAGGAGGAACACCGGUGGCGAAGGCGGGUCUCUGGGCCGAUACU